ensembl:lncRNA
GGAUAGGCCACUUGUUGUUGCUAACUGCUAACUGCUCCAUCAAUUGAACCACUUACCCCCUGCUGGUACCUACACACACAAACACACACACAUACACAGACACACACACACUCACAUUCAUAAAAACACAAAUGAAGAGGCUGGAAUUUAAUUGAAAGACUGGCAGGGAGGAAGGAACUGUCAGAGGAAGUAAGAAAGUAAAUUCAAGUAAAUGUGGCUGAGCGAUGCAGCAGCAAGGACACAAUCAGUGUUUCCUUUGAAGGCCAUUUCUUGAGUUUGCCGCCUUCCGCCAUUCUGGAGAUCUUUCCUACUUUGAAGUUUGCUGGUGUCCAAAAGAGGACAAAGAAACACAGAGA